GCCAAGGUGGCAGAGUUCGGUCAGACGCGACGGCCUGCAGAGCCGUUCUACGCCGGUUCAAAUCCGGCCCUUGGCU
rnacentral:tRNA from 3 species